GCAGAAGCUUCUUGCCGAGUUGGAGGCCAGCACCACGACCUCCGACAACUUGAUAAACAAGUUG
rnacentral:ribozyme from 1 species